CUUUCUUUUUUUUUUUUUCUUUGCUAAAGCUUUUGCUUUCUCAAAACACUCUUAUACUAAGCAGAUGUUAUUAUUUUUUGGGUGUCCAGAAAAAUCAACAAGCAAAAUGCCAUGACCAUUCCACAAAACUUUGCUAUAACUUUUGCUUUUGACCAGUCCACCUUUGCUCUGACUGGACCCCUUCCCUCCCUGGUAGCCAUUGCUUUGAUUGUGCUUUGUCUUCGGGAUCGUACGGCAGAGAACAGAGGAUGAGAAGAAAGAGCUCUGAAGGGUCAGCAGAAGGGGGAACGGGGUACCAGGUGCAUUGAAGAUUCUGACUACUGAAAACAGAAAAUACAAAAAGAUUAAUGGGCCUGUUGCCAGAGGAUUCACUGCCGACAGACAUGAGCUGCCUGUUGCUGUUUAGUAUCUCUGCAUCUUCCUGAAGGCUGAGUUUUAUUAUUUGACUCCUCAUAUCCCUUUAAUCAAUAGGCUGCACAUAAAAUAAAAUCUACUGAAUCUCAGCUGAGGCUCUAGCAUGAUGCUUUCUGAGAUAUUUCAGAAUAUUUUUCCAAGUUUAUUUACAAGAUGAGUAUUUAUAUUCCAUUUUUUGGACAUAUUCAUUUGUUUUUGUUUUUGUCUCAGGAAGACAAGAGAAGGUAUUUAUAAGCUGUCAGUCUCACCUCACAAGGUCAGAACUGAAAGCUCUGUGUAGAAAAAUCCAAGUGCAGGAUUCAAAUAUGUUGUAUUGCUGUUGCUGACUUAUGACUGUGCCAUGUCAGAUGGUUUCAGCAACCUUGAGAGAUUAAG
rnacentral:lncRNA from 10 species